CAGUCGCCACGGUAAUACGGAGGGGGCUAGCGUUGUUCGGAAUUACUGGGCGUAAAGCGCACGUAGGCGGCUUGGUAAGUUAGAGGUGAAAGCCCGGAGCUCAACUCCGGAAUUGCCUUUAAGACUGCCGAGCUAGUAGGUGAGAGAGGUAAGUGGAAUUCCGAGUGUAGAGGUGAAAUUCGUAGAUAUUCGGAAGAACACCAGUUGCGAAGGCGGCUUACUGGCUCAUUCUAGACGCUGAGGUGCGAAAGCGUGGGGAGCAAACAGGAUUAGAUACCCGAGUAGUCCCUGUCUCUUAUAA
rnacentral:rRNA from 1 species